AGCUCCAUUAGAGUAUAUUAAAGUUGUUGCAGUUAAAAAGCUCGUAGUUGGAUUUCGGUGCGGGUCGCGUCGGUCGGUCGCAAGACUUGUUUACUGGCCGGCCUGUUCUUUCUCUCCGAGACCUCGCGUUUCCUUUACUGGAUGCGCGUGCGAAUCGGAGGCGUUUACUUUGAAAAAAUUAGAGUGUUCAAAGCAGGCACGUUGUGGCCACUGAAUACAUGAGCAUGGAAUAAUGGAAUAGGACUACGGUCCCUAUUUCGUUGGUUUCGAGGACCGAAGUAAUGAUUAAGAGGGACAGUUGGGGGCAUUCGUAUUUAAUUGUCAGAGGUGAAAUUCUCGGAUUUAUGAAAGACGAACAACUGCGAAAGCAUUUGCCAAGGAUGUUUUCAUUAAUCAAGAA
rnacentral:rRNA from 1 species